rnacentral:tRNA from 1 species
ACUAGGAUGGCCGAGUGGUUAAGGCGUUGGACUUAAGUUCCAGUGUACGAGUGUACGCGUGGGUUCGAACCCCACUCCUGGUA